rnacentral:misc_RNA from 1 species
GCCAGUGCCGACCUCUCUCCAGUCGGAGUCAACCAGUCGUCGAUCCCCCGUCUCCCCUGCCCAGAGCCAAAGUCAGAGACUCGGAUCGUCUGCCAGUCGCGCUGUUUUGUUUGUCGUUUCCUUUCUUCGAAGUCGAUCCCGUUUUUUAUUCCGCCCAGUGACCGUUGCCUCUGAGGAGCCGAGACGACGCGAUCGCCCCCAACACGUGGAGUGUCGUGCACUUUUCCAGGGAAACGAUUCGAUUUAAAUGGGAACUGACAAUCCGAAGACAAACGUGGAAAACGAGUUUAACGAAAUCGACCGAAGCGAUGGAUGGAUUCAGUUGUAUCUGGAGAUAAAAGUGGAAAGCUCUAAGUACGACUUUUCCACGUCUGCGGCGAUAAAGAAAAAGAAUGCGGCGUUCAACAGAUACCGGGACGUCAAUCCGUACGACCACUCGAGGAUCGUUUUGCAGAGGGGGACAUGCGAUUAUAUCAACGCCAAUUUAGUUAAAGUUCCAAAAGCAAAUAGAAAAUACAUUUUAACUCAGGGUCCCUUACAACGAACCGUUGGCCAUUUUUGGCUUAUGGUAUGGGAGCAAAAAAGUCGUGGGAUUGUUAUGUUAAAUAGAAUAUUAGAAAAUAAUCAGAAAAAAUGCCACCUUUAUUGGCCCAGAGGUGAGAAGGCUCACGGAGAAAAUGUACUAACAUUAACAGAUGUCGGUCUUUCGGUAACAUUCGUCUCGUUUGAUGAUAAAAAUGCUUAUCCUAAAACUAUACUGAGGCUCACUGACUUAGAGUCAGGGGAAAGUAGGGAGGUCAUACAUUUUCAGUACACCAUGUGGCCUGACUUUGGUGUUCCCGAAAGUGCACGAUGCUUCGUACGGUUCUUGUGCCUUGUCAGGAGGAGCGGAAUCCUAGAAGAGGAUAGUGGAGGUCCGCCUGUUGUCCAUUGUUCAGCCGGGAUCGGAAGGUCGGGCACCUUCUGCCUCGUUGACUCGUGUCUCAUUCUCAUGAAAAAAUUGGGCCAGAAAGAUGUAAACAUUAAAGAACUUCUACUGGAGAUGAGAUCAGAUAGAAUGGGCCUGAUUCAGACCCCGGGGCAACUUCGAUUCUCUUACUUAGCUGUAAUCGAAGAACUGACAAUGGAUUGGGAAUCACAGAAAGAAUUUGAAUGUCUACCUGAAGAGGAGUCUGCAUGGAAGAACACAAUAUCGGAGUCUGACUCAGAAUCAGAUGAUGAACCGCCUCCUUUGCCACCGCCGCGAAGUGACAGCAAAAGAGAAAUACCUCCAUCACCACCUCAUGACUUACCUUUACCUCCAGACAGGCCACUCCCGAGUGAACCACCAACGCCUGAGACGCCCACACCUGAAAACGAACUUUCCAACAACGAUGCUUCAAUGCAUUAUAAUGAUUUGGGCGAGGGUCUCAGGGAGAGAAAGAGGGUUGAAGCGAACAAGAAGACAUCUGAUAUUAUAUCGGAAAUGAAAAGGAAGCAGGAAGCGGCCGAGAGUUGGCAGAGAGUUAAGAGAAAACACACCGAAGACUCAGAUGAAGGUGAGAACCCUCCGACAAAGAAAAGUUGAUUUUCUCCCAGGAGCCCACAAUUCACAUCAAACGUUUUCCUUGAAAUACUUUUGUGUUUAUAAUUUGAUUUUCUUGACCUGUUAAUACAAUAGAUGUGAUAUUAAAUUUUCAAUUUUUAAAUAUUAAGUUAUUUUUUAUCAGUUUAUGAAAUUGUUUGAACUACAUUUUCUACUUUUUCUCCCCCCUGCUAAUUGUAGAAAAUAUUUUCAACAAUAAACACUUGUGUAAUUAUUAAAAUUUUAAUUUCUUACAAAUUUCCUAUAAAUAAAUAUUACAUAAUACAAUUAUUUUCUCACUCGACUCACAUUUUAAACUUUUUUUAGUUUACUUUACAUUACUUUUUGAGUAUUCCCAAUUCAGAACUUCUGUGUUUCAGACAAUUUCAGUUUUGGGUUGUUAAAUUUAAUUUUAACUGUUAAUAAAUGACGGACAUCUGUUUAGCAAAUUUUGUCAAUAGUUUAUUAGUUUUGAUUCUAAGACUAAAUUUAUGGGAAAAUGAAAGCAAUAAAAAAUAUGUAAUAAACUUGAUAAUGAGUAAAAAAUCUAUUUAAAUUUACUUGAAAAAAAUCUACACAAUCUAAUUUUAUAAAAACAAAUUUCUUAAAGUAAAAAUAAAAAGGUAAAACUAUUAAUGUGGUAUAAUGAGUUAACCUAUAUUUCCAGAUAGACUGACAGUGUACUUGUACACUUUAAAAAAUGGUGGUGGUUUAAUAAUUAUAAACUUUUUAUUUUCCUAAUUGUAUAUUUUCAGUUUUUCUUCUUUGACUGAUUAAUUUUAUGUUAUCCUUAAAAGCCAUGCAUUACAGAGAGUAUUUUAUUAGGCUAAAGUAUCGUGAAGAAAUAUUGCAUGCUGAAAAGGGGGCUGGCUGCCUCAAAAUAUAUAGCUUUAUUUAUUUGGUACUUUUAUGUAAUAUGGAUAAUGUGAUGGUUACCAAAUGGGUGAAAAAUGUUCUAAGGCAGUCCUAAACAUUGCACAGAAAAUAAUUUUUAUAGUUGAGAUGAAGGAUUUACAUUUUCUAAAAAGGAAGCUGUUUUAUAAGGCGGAAGAAAUAUAAAUGCGAUGAAAAUUUAAAUUCAAGGACAAAGAUAAUUAACCAGAUUGUUAAUCCCAUUGACUAAUUCUAACGCUGGUUUCAAAGACUGCAUUGAUCAAUUAAUGGUGAGGAAAAUGACGAUGUAGUAGUUCCAAUUUGGUACAGUUGUACUAUAGCCGCAUUUAACAAGGACUGGAAUCUUGGGUAACUAAAGAACAUAAUAAAUAUUGGGAGUGCAAACCAGGAACUGCUCCAGUAAAAUGCCAGCUUAAAAACAUUGGACUAUCACAGAUGACCAAUGUCAAUUAUGUCCAGGAGAGAAAAAUAACAUGCCCUAUGCAACUACCCCACAAUGGCUAGGAAAACGCUAUGGAAACAGAAAGUCGUUCUUGAGCUACACAGAUCCAGACUUCCAAGAAGAGAGAAUUCUCUACCUCAUAAAAAUAUCAAUGUUAAUUAAUUGUUAAAAAACCAUUUUAAUUUUUUUUAACUUAUUUAAGAAAUCGAAAAACUAUUGCAAUAAAGUGUAGUUUAUGUUAAAAA